rnacentral:rRNA from 1 species
CGGACGGGUGAGUAACGCGUGGGUAACCUGCCUUAUACAGGGGGAGUAACAGUCAGAAAUGGCUGCUAAUACCGCAUAAGACCACAGCACCGCAUGGUGCAGGGGUAAAAACUCCGGUGGUACAGGAUGGACCCGCGUCUGAUUAGCUGGUUGGUGAGGUAACGGCUCACCAAGGCGACGAUCAGUAGCCGGCUUGAGAGAGUGAACGGCCACAUUGGGACUGAGACACGGCCCAAACUCCUACGGGAGGCAGCAUG